rnacentral:tRNA from 1 species
AGGGGUGUAGCUCAAUUGGUAGAGCAACGGUUUCCAAAACCGUAGGUCGGGGUUCGAUUCCCUCCGCCCUGCCA